UAUAUAUAUAUAAUAUAAAUUACAAUGUCUCGACUGAUAAUUGAUAAAGUUAGAAGGUGUCUCUAACCUCUCAUUAUCAUCAGCACUCACAGCCUCUAAUCUAAACAUUUUCUCUAAACAUAAUCGAGCAAACAAUGGCUGCUGCAACAUUUGCUUACCUCAAAGAUGUCAGGCCAUACACCACACAGUGGAGAGUCCAAGUGAAAGUACUUCACUCCUGGCGGCAGUACACAGCCAACACUGGUGAAACUCUAGAGUUGGUGUUAUCUGAUAUUGAGGUAAUUCAGUUGCAUAUUAAUUGUGAAUUAGUUUACAUUAAACCAUUUUAAAGCUACUAUUUUUAUCUGACUCUACUGUUUCUAUAAACUUUCAAUUCUCAAUCUACAUAUACAUUUUUACAGGGUUUUUUUUUUGCAUUAAUUCAUUUGGAUCCGGGUUUUAUCCGGAUUUAACUCUAUCCGGAUCUUGGAUAAGAAAUUUUAGGAAUGUUGUCUUAAAACCAUAUUGAAAUAUUGACUCUAAUUACUUCUAGAAUUCCAUAAUUAAGCUACCAAUUCGUACUUAACAUAUUCCUAAACUAUUUCCAUAUUCAAAUAUCUCCGGAUGCUAAUAAUACCUAA
rnacentral:lncRNA from 1 species